UGAGAGUACGAGAUAAACGGUAGUAAG
rnacentral:sRNA from 1 species